rnacentral:rRNA from 1 species
AUUUUUACUUUCUAGGUAGUAAAUCAAUUUAAACCUACAUUUAAUGGCGGCAUUUUCUCUUAUUAAAGGAACAUGUUAUAUAAUCGAUAGUACACGAUUAAUUUUUCUAAUUUUUAAAUUUUAUAUACCUCCGUCCUAAUUUUUAUUCCAUCUUUAAAAAAAAUUCUUAAAGGAUAGGUAAAGGUGUAAACUAUAAACUAGAUUUAAAUGUGUUACAUUAAAAAAAAUUUAAGGCUUAAUAUCUAAAUUUUUUUAUAAAAAAGGAUUUAAAAGUAACAUUCUUAUAAUAUUAAAAUUUGAAUAAGAAAAUAAAUGUGC